GCCAGUGUAGCUCAGCCGGUAGAGCAGCUGAUUCGUAAUCAGCAGGUCGAGGGUUCGAAUCCCUCUGCUGGCU
rnacentral:tRNA from 1 species